UGGAAUACCAAGAGGCCUGCACACAUUCUGGAGGGCCGUACUGGCCUAAAGACUGGUCUGUGAUGGAGGGAAAGGCAUGGCAUGAGAGCACACAAAACAAAAGCAAAGAGAAGCAAAGCAAUGAAUGAAGCCACUAGCUCUCAGGCAGCUGCUGACAUGCACAGGAGUACAGGCUGCUGGAGAUUUUCACUGCCAGGGAUCUGGCAGCAAUCACACUAAAUGCUGUGAGCUGUUGACAGCUGAAGACGAGCAGCUUUUGCAGAAGGAGAAAUCCUCUGGACUUACACAAGCUCUUUUGUCUGUGAUGUGAGCAGUUAUGCAGCACCUGAAGCGCACUGCAGGCAAUUAUCCCUCCACUGGCAGCCACUCUUGCAGUCAGCACAUCUGCUUGGAAUCCACCCCAGAGCCAGCUCCUGCCCAGCAGUUAGCAGAUGGCAGAAGACGAGCAAUCUGACACAAUGGCAUCUGAUAUGGAAGUGUGUAUGAAGCAAAGGUGUGGAACCGAAUUUUCACAUGCAGAAAGAAUUGCACCCAUUGACACUCACUGAUACUUACAGAACAUUUACUGUGUUGGGUGGGUGCAUUUCAGUAGUGAUGACAGCAACGUGAAAGACAAGCCACGUUCUGGAUGGCCAUGCACAGCUGUCACAUCACAAAAUGAAGAGUGUCUCAAUCAGCUCAUCUGCACAAAUUGGCAGAUUACAACCAGGGAACUGUGUACAGAGCUGAAUAUUGGCUUCAAUGCAUUGGAAAUGAUGGUGGCAAUGUUGGAAUAUCACAAAGUUUACACCAGAUGGAUCCCAAGAAUACUCACAGAAGAGAAGAAAGAACACUAUGCAAGUUUUUCAGGAUAUACUGAAUCAAGACGGGGCUGAAGGUGACAGUUUCCUGAACUGCAUCAAGUGGUAUAACCACUUAGAACUGAAGUCAAAGCAGUAGUCCAUGGAGUGGCGAGAUAUGAAUUCCCCAUCAAACUAAAGUUUCAAGACAUAGCUUUCAGUGGAUAAAAUGAUGUGUGCUGUCUUUUGGGAUAAGAGAGAGAUAAUCAUUCUGGAUUUUCUGGAAACUGGAUAAACCAUCAGUUCUGACUGCUACAUUGCAAUGCUGACUAAGCUGAAGGUUCAGAUCUCCAGAGCCCGAUUGGAGAAGAGGACUACCUUUCUCUUGCAACAUAAUAAGGUUUACCAGUUUGAAAGUGGAGCACACUGCCAGUCUUGGCUGGAUUGUUGUACUGCACUCACUCUGUUGUCCAGAUUUGACACCUUCUGACUUUUAUCUGUUGUUUUCCUAGCAAUAGUACUAUCAUAGCAGCUGUGAAACAGUGGGUGACGUCCACUGGGGCAGAUUUUGACGAGUGUGGCAUGCAGGUCCUUGCUCAUCACUGGUGAAAAUGUAUAGCUGAUGGUGAUGAAUGUGUUAAAAAGUAGUAUUUUGUAGCUGAUAAUUCGCUCUAACAAGUAUUGGUGUUGUGCUCUCUGUGUCUGGUGUAGUUUCCAUAUAAAUCAGAAGGAGGCAUUACUUUUGGAACAACAUAUAUUGUUAUGUAUCUAGAAAUUAUUAGCUACUAACAUUUUGUGGGGAAAAAAAAAACAAACGAAAAAACUGAAGUGGAGGAUCAUUUUCAUUCUGUUACAGUAAGAGCUUCAGGCUUUCAAAUGGAUAAACAUUUCUGCAAUUUGAGCUAUGUGAGUCAUGUUUAACAAGGCAGAAGUGUACAAAGAAUUAGCUAUCUACAAUGCAUGUGCUUCCCUAGACUUACUGCACUAACUUAAGAAAGACAAAGCAGUCAUGAAAUGCAAAGACUCAAGAUACAACUUGUUACUUUCUGUCCGAGGACUGAGAUCACUCGAAAUCAUCACACACAGAAGGCUACUGUGGAAAAGAGGAGCUUUUCACUCACAGUGCAAACAGGGCACAAGAAUCUUUCACAAGGACAAGGAACCAGGACUAGGUCCUGGGAGAGCCUAGAAAUUGGCUCUGAGAUCAGACUGAAGGCUGAGCCUGCAAAUCAUUGCAUCUCUGAGCCACACAUAUGUACAGAUUUCUCUGCAGUUGGUAUGAAAGAAAAUUAAAUUAAAGAGAUUACUCACCUGUGCAAAACCUACAUCCAAGUGAAGGAAGGAAACAGCACUGCAUGUACCAGAGAAGCAGCCCUAUCCAACCAUUCCUGACUUACAAAAUCAAGCUUCAAGUAUAGCUUUACCUCUUUGUCCUCUGCAUUUCAUCCUUGAUUCUGAACUUUCCUCAGCUGCUAUUUUUCUUCUAUUAAUCUGCCACCUUUGUUUAAAUUCUCAUAUACAUCACUCUUCUCUCACCUUGACUUCUGCAGUUCAUUUUUCUGUGAUGUUCGAAACUCCAGCAUGCAGCACCUGUGCAAUUAUGCUGCCUUACUUCCAGAACGUCCAGAAAGCUCCGCUUUUUCUAGUCUCAAUUCCACAUAUCUCUGUAUCAAUUUCAACUUCCCUGUCCCUCUACUAAUGUACUGCCCAGUUUAGAAUUUUCACCUCUUUAUUGUGACCCAUUCCUUCCUUAUCUAUUUCUUUUUUUAAUAAAUAAACAAAUAAAUAAAUAAAAAGGAAAGAUAUUACUGUUUAGAAAAUUCAGUUCUAUUUGG